AUGAAUGGUGACUACGAAAAUGUCAUCAAUUCCACCAACACAGUACGGCUCCCUAAGUCCGUCGAUACGCAAAAUGUGGGAGACUAUCGCCCAAUCAGCCUGAUUCAUAGGACCUCCAAGUUUUUAUCUAAACUCAUUGCCAAUAGAGUUGCACCCAUGCUUAGCAACAUUGUCUCCAAGCGCCAGAUUGCCUUCAUCUAGAAACGCCACAUCCACAAUAGUUUCCUACAUGUCUAG
rnacentral:rRNA from 1 species